UCUCUCUCUGGCGAUUCAGAUUUAGGGUUUGUUUCUCCUCACAUAAGAGUUUGUUUCUCUUCAAGUCUACGAUUCCUCUUCAGAUAUGUGUUUGUUUCUUCUUGUUCUUCUUCUUCUUCUUCUUCAGAUCUGCGUAGUAAGCAAGGUAGGUUUAUCUUUUCUUUUUUGCUGAAUAUUUUCUCAUACAAAACUUUUGUAGUCUACAAGCCCUAACUUUUUUACUUUUUUACUGUUUUUCUGAUGGAAACCGAGAAUGGAGGUUGAGAGGCUCUACGACGUCGUUUCCGGUGCUCCGGUGGCAGAGAUCUUCGGUUUGAUGGUUUAGACGGUUGUAGAUGCUCAGAAAUAUGUUUAUUGGCUUCUGUUUUUGGUACCAUGUUUCUCUUUUUGCCAGUUGGAAACAAAGGGGAAUGUAUGCAGCAUGUAUUUGCAUUUCUCAGUUGCUUCUGGUUCUUAGCAAAAUGGAUUUGGUUUUCAGUUAUGUGACUGAAUUUUAUUUAGAAACUCUGGUUGAUUGUUUUUAUGUUUUGCGAAAGAGUGAUCCUCCUUUUGUCUCUACAGGAAUGUUUAUAAAACAAGGACUUGGUUCAUUUGUUACUUUUGUGGUUACCCAUUUCAGCGACCCGAGAAUAUCAAGCACAGAACUAAGAGAUCUACUUCUGCAAUCAAUUUCUGUAUUAGUUCAGUACAAAGAGUUUUUGGCUGCUUUUGAGAGCAACAGGAUGGCAAUAUGGGAAAGGAAUUAAUCCAAGUAGGUAUUGAGGCUGGUGCUAGAUUACUUAUUAUGGAAGAAAUAUUGAGAUGCUAUUUGUGAUCUCAAAGCCAGAUGUUUUCAAGUCCCCUGCUUCAGACACAUACGUAAUAUUCGGCGAAGCAAAAAUAGAGGAUCUGAACUCACAGUUGCGGAGUCAGGCAGCAGAGCAAUUCAAAGCACCUAACCUUAGCAACGUGAUAUCGACGCCUGAGCCAACAGUCGUGGCUCAGGACGAUGAGGAUGUAGACGAGACCGGGGUGGAGCCCAAGGACAUCGAGCUGGUCAUGACUCAAGUCGGGGUCUCAAGACCAAAGGCGGUCAAGGCGUUAAAGGCUGCAGAUGGUGACAUUUUAUCGGCGAUUAUGGAACUCACAACUUGAAAGUGAUUGACUCGUUGUCGAUUUGCUUUUGUUGUUCCUGUAAUGUUUGAGAUUGUUUGAUCAUGUUGUUAUCUACUGUGCAUUGACAAUUGGGUCUUUGCUGAAUUUGAGGAUUUGAGGAAUGAUAAAGGAAAUGGUUUAUUUGAAAUGUGGUUGGGUGUUUGAUAUAGUUUUUGCAUUUUUAAAAUUAUAUUUGACUGAUUUUUUUUAUAUAAGUUGUAUUUUUGUGAUAUUGCAGCCAACAGAUCAGCAUCAGCGGCUUUCCUUAUGCUUUGACAAACUAAUGGGUGAUGUCUCCAGAAGCUUGAAAUCAAGGUUCAUUUAUCAGCUCCCAGCUGUUCGUUUAACGGAUGAACAAGAUGGUCGAUUGAGAGGGUUUUGUUAAUAUUUUGAAGUCUACAGAACUGAGUAGGAUUAAUUACGACCCAGAUAUGCUCGAGGCACGAGAUAUUUAAAUUAUGGAUCUAUACCUAAGUCCGUGUUCAUGUUAGAAACAUUGGGUGUUUUUAUAUCUUUAGUUGUUGAAUAUUAAAAUCCAUGAUGGUGUUUCGUGAUUUGCUUUUGGUUAACUGCCUUUAUGUUUCUUUCCUACUUGUAGAAGUAUACUUUAGUUUGUUUAAUAUUAUAUUAUGUUGUAACAA